rnacentral:rRNA from 1 species
AUGCUAAAUGUGCACACACACCAUCCCGAGCUGCCUAUUUGCGCAAGAUACAGGAAAGCAAGGAGUCAGGUGUGGAUGGGCAUGUACUUGAGGUUGUCGGGAGCAAGGCGAGACGGUGGUGCUCAUCUUCACCUGCUACUCUGCUCCAGCUCCUACAUGUGCUUGAUUCCAAGAACAGAAGAAGUUCAAGAUAUCCCACUGUGUCACGACCUGCCCAUUGCAGCCGCCACUCAAGAAACAAUCAAAUUUGGGGCAUGCAAGAAGAGGAAGAUAUUGCAAGAGCAGGGACAUGCAGAUGCAGUCAGGGGGAAGGGAAAGGGGGAGGCUGGCGACCUGGGCACCCUGGACCAGGGGAGCCACAAUUGA